rnacentral:tRNA from 1 species
UCCCUGAUAGUCUAGUGGCUAAGACUCCAUGCUUCCAAAACGGGGGGCACAGGUUCGAUCCUUAGUUGGGGAA